CACUCUCAGUGAAACAGAUUGGAAGAGUCGACUCUCUUAAAUACUGGGGGACGUCGGAUUAACAAGGGCGGACGGGACUGGUCUUUUACGGAUGAGCCAUGUUGGUUUUUUAUAAGAAGCUCCCCGUGACAGAAUCUGAUAAAGCACCGCCAGAGGAGCGUUUGGAAGAGAGCUGGAGAGAAAGAUUGAGAGAAACAAGGACAUAGAGAGACUAAGAGAACGCGGGAGUCAGGGAGCAAGUCCACACCACAAUCCAAAAACAAUAUUUUCAGUGAAACUUUACCCUCUCCAUCUGGCUCCUUUGAAGGGCGGAUUAUGACUGGUGCCUUGGCUAACUCUUUAUCCCACACUGUUCCUUCUGUGAGUCCACCCUGACGUUUUUUCCUAGAGGACAGUUACACAGGAAAUAAAUGGGAGUUCUGUGAUUACCAUCAAACAUCCAGCACAUACAAUGCUGCCAUGGAGACAGUGCUCUUAUAUCUGUGGGGCUUCCACCUACUGUAUACCGCCAGAACAACCACACACGCGUUCACACAAACUGCAAAGAAUUCCUCCAUGCUUCACCCAAUCGCUGCAAACCCAAGCAGCGUUUGACCACAAUGAACCAUUUUGGUAGUCAUAGUGAGUCAUCGAGCAACUCAGUCUCCUGCUGUUUACCACAAAACCUGUCAAGUGUUGAGUGUUGUUUUUACACUUUGGCUUUACAUGCAAUCAACUCAAAAACAAAAUAAGUUAUAUUUGCCAUCCAAUCAAAAAGAUUCAUGUUUCAUUAAAGUCUUUACCUUUUCAGACACA
ensembl:lncRNA